rnacentral:misc_RNA from 1 species
GCACCGAUGAGUGGUAGUCAUCAUCGAUGGAGGUGGUUGUGUGAGCUCUUUUUAAAAUGAAUAAAUUUAAUAUUUGCUACGAUACAAUGCUACAAUACCGAAUAAGAGUGCAUGCUACAGGAACAAUGCCUCUACAGCUUCAAGACCUCUGCAGCACAUGAGUGCUAUAGUACCUAUUGGAAGAAAAGGAGGUGAGAGCUCAGGCACGGCGAGAGAGUAACUUCGACCUAGGGGGAGGGGAAGGGAGUUUGAGAAA